GUACUCGCUUCGGUAGCACAUACACUAAAAUCGGAACAAUAGAGAAGAUUAGCAUGGCUCCUGCACAAAGAUGACACACAAACUUGUGAAGCAUUCCAUAUUUUC